rnacentral:rRNA from 1 species
CCUACGGGAGGCAGCAGUAGGGAAUCUUCCACAAUGGGCGAAAGCCUGAUGGAGCAACGCCGCGUGGGUGAAGAAGGUCUUCGGAUCGUAAAACCCUGUUGUUAGAGAAGAAAGUGUGUGAGAGUAACUGUUCACGUUUCGACGGUAUCUAACCAGAAAGCCACGGCUAACUACGUGCCAGCAGCCGCGGUAAUACGUAGGUGGCAAGCGUUAUCCGGAUUUUUUGGGCGUAAAGGGAACGCAGGCGGUCUUUUAAGUCUGAUGUGAAAGCCUUCGGCUUAACCGGAGUAGUGCAUUGGAAACUGGGAGACUUGAGUGCAGAAGAGGAGAGUGGAACUCCAUGUGUAGCGGUGAAAUGCGUAGAUAUAUGGAAGAACACCAGUGGCGAAAGCGGCUCUCUGGUCUGUAACUGACGCUGAGGUUCGAAAGCGUGGGUAGCAAACAGGAUUAGAUACCCCAGUAGUC